UGUUAUACCCUUUAUCACUUUUUUGUUGUUGCUCUACACUAAUCGGAUCCAAACCCCUGCGUCCUCAUUCUUUUUUCAAUAAGAACAUGAUGCUUAAAAUAUAAAGCCCAUUUCGUCCUCUGAUGCAAUGGAAGGGUUUUUUUCCGAUGACUAUUUGAGGUUAAGAGAUUCGAUCUUUUUUCAAUUAUUUUGUUUCAAAACGCAAGAAAAGGUUGGUGUUACACAGUAUUUUAUGAAGGAUGGUGUGUUAUGGUCAGAUACAGGUUCGUCUUUUCAUCUUAAAUCUCAAUUGUCAAUCGGUUUGUAGCAGAUAUGGAAAUCAAAUUGAUUUUCGGCCCAAAACUCAAACCCAAAUCCUAUUAAAUAUGCUCAUUUGUGUUUGAAUUCCAUGGAUUUUUAUACAUCUUUUGUCUUAUUUGUUGUUUUUAUCACAUGGAAAUCAAACGUAGCAUAUAUUGAAUUGUCGUUUUUGGUUUAAAUAUGUAAUUUCUUUUGAAACCCAAAAAAUCAAAAUCUUUAUACAAAUGUCAUAUACUAUUAAACUUAUAUUGGUGCCAAAUCCUUUUUUAAACUCGUCAGCCUUGAUUUUUAAUAGGCAAUAUUUUUUUUCAUGUUUUUAAGGAUAUGUAUGCAUUCAUCUAAUCUAGAUUUUUUGCGUUUUCACACUCAAUGGUGGUCAAGGAAACUGAUGCAAGCUUUCAGUUACAAGUGGAUCUGUGUUUGAUGGAAGGGGAUUACCUGGAUUGCAUAAAUUACCAUAACAAAUCUUGAGUUCCUAUAAGUUGGAGUCAUGUGUUUCAUAUGAACCGGAUCUUCAUGAUUUGAAUGUCUCUAGCACUUGUAGUGAUGAUUGUUGUUGCUCAAGCCAUGACAUCAUAGGCACAUCAUGGACGAUAGACAUGCUAAUAGAAUUAAUAUGUUAUAUGUUUUUUA